GAUGAACGCUGGCGGCGUGCCUAAUACAUGCAAGUCGAGCGAACAGACGAGGAGCUUGCUCCUCUGACGUUAGCGGCGGACGGGUGAGUAACACGUGGAUAACCUACCUAUAAGACUGGGAUAACUUCGGGAAACCGGAGCUAAUACCGGAUAAUAUAUUGAACCGCAUGGUUCAAUAGUGAAAGACGGUUUUGCUGUCACUUAUAGAUGGAUCCGCGCCGCAUUAGCUAGUUGGUAAGGUAACGGCUUACCAAGGCAACGAUGCGUAGCCGACCUGAGAGGGUGAUCGGCCACACUGGAACUGAGACACGGUCCAGACUCCUACGGGAGGCAGCAGUAGGGAAUCUUCCGCAAUGGGCGAAAGCCUGACGGAGCAACGCCGCGUGAUUGAUGAAGGUCUUCGGAUCUUAAAACUCUGUUAUUAGGGAAGAACAAAUGUGUAAGUAACUAUGCACGUCUUGACGGUACCUAAUCAGAAAGCCACGGCUAACUACGUG
rnacentral:rRNA from 1 species